rnacentral:rRNA from 1 species
GUCGAGAAUCUUUUACAAUGGGGGCAACCCUGAUGGAGCGACGCCGCGUGGAGGAUAAGGUCUUCGGAUUGUAAACUCCUGUCAUGCGUGAACAAGGUUGCUUGGUUAAUACCUGGGCAAAUUGAUGGUAACGCAAGAGGAAGAGACGGCUAACUCUGUGCCAGCAGCCGCGGUAAUACAGAGGUCUCAAGCGUUGUUCGGAAUCACUGGGCGUAAAGGGUGCGUAGGUGGCGUGGUAAGUCAGAUGUGAAAGCCCGGGGCUCAACCUCGGAACUGCAUCCGAUACUGCCAUGCUAGAGUACUGGAGAGGUGACUAGAAUUCUCGGUGUAGCAGUGAAAUGCGUAGAUAUCGAGAGGAAUACCAAAGGCGUAGGCAGGUCACUGGACAGUUACUGACACUGAGGCACGAAGGCCAGGGGAGCGAACGGGAUUAGAUACCCGAGUAGUCC